rnacentral:rRNA from 1 species
CAGCAGCCGCGGGAAUACGAGGGGGGCAAGCGUUGUUCGGAAUUAUUGGGCGUAAAGGGUGCGUAGGCGGUUUGACAAGUCUUAUGUGAAAUCUUCGGGCUCAACCCGAAGUCUGCAUAGGAAACUGUCGGGCUUGAGUAUGGGAGAGGUGAGUGGAAUUUCCGGUGUAGCGGCGAAAUUCGUAGAUAUUGGGAAGAACACCGGUGGCGAAGGCGGCAACCUGGCUCAUUACUGACGCUGAGGCGCGAAAGCGUGGGGAGCAAACAGGAUUAGAUACCCCAGUAGUCCCUGUCUCUUAUAC